rnacentral:rRNA from 1 species
AUUGAACGCUGGCGGCAGGCCUAACACAUGCAAGUCGAGCGGAUGAAGGGAGCUUGCUCCUGGAUUCAGCGGCGGACGGGUGAGUAAUGCCUAGGAAUCUGCCUGGUCGUGGGGGAUAACGUCCGGAAACGGGUGCUAAUACCGCAUAAGUCCUGAGGGAGAAAGUGGGGGAUGUUCGGACCUCACGCUAUCAGAUGAGCCUAGGUCGGGUUAGCUAGUUGGUGGGGUAAAGGCCUACCAAGGCGACGAUCCGUAACUGGUCUGAGAGGAUGAUCAGUCACACUGGAACUGAGACACGGUCCAGACUCCUACGGGAGGCAGCAGUGGGGAAUAUUGGACAAUGGGCGAAAGCCUGAUCCAGCCAUGCCGCGUGUGUGAAGAAGGUCUUCGGAUUGUAAAGCACUUUAAGUUGGGAGGAAGGGCAGUAAGUUAAUACCUUGCUGUUUUGACGUUACCAACAGAAUAAGCACCGGCUAACUUCGUG